rnacentral:lncRNA from 1 species
CCCCCCAGCAGCACCACACGAGGAAGCCAACAUCAAAGGCUGCUUUGCAGAUGUCCCGCGUGCCCAGCACCCCUCUGAGGCUGGCACAUUCACCUCCAAAACCCACAGGGAUGUUCCCUCUUUCUCCAAGAGCCAGGAUCCCUUCUGUCCAAGGGCUCUGCCCCUCGUUCCCUCCCAGCCCUGUCUCUCCCUGCUCAGCUCAGCCACAGGAAACACCAGGAGUUAACUGGGAUGUUAUUGCAGCCCUCCUGUGGCUGGGGUCUCCUCCGCCCUCCCCAACAAGGAGGCAGCCGAGCACAGCCCCCAAACAGCCCCACAGGAAAGUGAGCAGCCUCACUUGGACCACACCACCACCAGCACCACAUCCCGGUGUCCUCCUGCCCUCCAAGGGCCCCACGGUGGAACGGCUCCGUCCGUGGGCACCUCCUGACCCCUGGGCAAGCCGCCAGCUCCUGCCUCCACCCUGUCCCCCAGCCCUGAGCUCCAGAGAAGGACCGUGGUUCUGGGGACACCACGGAGCAGCUGCUUUGCACUGUUUUGUGUUUUUUUUGUUUUUUUUUUUUUCCCCUUGGCUUGCCCCUGCUUAUCAGCCAUUGUUUCUGCGAGGGGAAGUCCCCACAUCCCAGGACGGGUGCUGCGCUGCUGCCACUGCUUGCUGGCUCUGCCAAGGAGCACGGUGCCCACAGCUGGCCAGUGACGGACCCGUGCCAAACGCUGGCACCCUCUGGGCACAUCAAGGAGCACGGUGCCCACAGCUGGCUGGUGACAGACCCGUGCCGGACCCCAGCACCCCCCAUGCACAUCGUGGCCGCAGGCACGGGCGGCUCCAGGCUCGUAAGGAGCCUGCUCCUACCAGGGUGGUGCCAGGCAGGCAGGACGAGGACAGCGCUGGGGUGGAGGCAUCGCCCCACCCUGCCUUACAGCCAACCCCAAAACCAGCGCUGGGUCGCUAAGACCACCCCCCCCCCCCAGACGAGCCUCCCUCGCUAAGUGAGAAAGCAUCUGUGCUUCUCUCCCCAGCCCUUCUCUCUGCCAGGUUCCUGGGGAGUGAGUCACUCCUGCAAAGCUAUAUCGAGACAGUUUGGCUUCUCCCCACAUCCACACCUUGCCAAUCACACAGGACUGCAAGGCUCAUCCUACUCCGGCUGCAAGAGCC